UUUCCGCCACCCACAAUGGAGGAACCAACCGUGAUCACGAUGUCACCGGCCAAACAGUUGGAUUUUGACAACACUUACAGUAGUAGCAUCACCAAUUGUGGCCGACGAUGGAAGAAAUAAGAGAAAAAGAAAGAUGACAAGGCCGAAACAGUGGAGCUUCUCGUGUAAAGAUGGCAAUUUACUCAGCCUCUUGAAUACUCGACUUGAGUUGACUCAAAUGGGGUGGGUUUUACAUGACUUGCAAUGGAUCCAAGUAGAUAUGGGUAAUGGUAAAUCCAUCUCGCACUCGACUCA
rnacentral:lncRNA from 1 species